GCCCGGUUAGCUCAAUCGGUAGAGCGUGAGACUCUUAAUCUCAAGGUUGCGGGUAAGUUGUGAAUAUGAUGCCCACCAGUAGAUGGUUGGACGCUAAGAUAUGUUAUGUUAUAGGUUCGACCCCCGCAUUGGGCU